GAGUGUUGGAUGCUCACCUGAACUGUUAGCUCAGUGCAAUGACGGGCCCGUGACUGGUGAAAUGUGUCCAGAGAGCAGUGUGACACUGUGAAGGAAAACGUCCUGCCUUUGAGAAACUCUCCUGGCUUCUCCUGACCAUCCCAGGAACUGAUAGCCUGCAGCCUGGUGAUUAAGGACCAUUGCCUUAGGACCAGGCAAAGCUGAAUUCCAGUCCCUGCUCCAGAGACACCAUUGAAACCUGGGCCACCCCAUCCCUGCGGAUGCCAAUGGAAGCCGUCCCUGCCAAUUCUCCAUGAGUAGCAGAUGGAGCCUAGGCCAGACAGUGCAAGCUGUACCCCUCUGAAGAGCAGUGAUAUAAACAACCCCAUCCCAUACCUUUUGAUUUUUAUUAAAUAAAAGCCA